rnacentral:rRNA from 1 species
GACGAACGCUGGCGGCGUGCUUAACACAUGCAAGUCGAACGGAAAGGCCCUGCUUUUGUGGGGUGCUCGAGUGGCGAACGGGUGAGUAACACGUGAGUAACCUGCCCUUGACUUUGGGAUAACUUCAGGAAACUGGGGCUAAUACCGGAUAGGAGCUCCUGCUGCAUGGUGGGGGUUGGAAAGUUUCGGCGGUUGGGGAUGGACUCGCGGCUUAUCAGCUUGUUGGUGGGGUAGUGGCUUACCAAGGCUUUGACGGGUAGCCGGCCUGAGAGGGUGACCGGCCACAUUGGGAAUGAGAUACGGCCCAGACUCCUACGGGAGGCAGCAGUGGGGAAUAUUGCAAAAUGGGCGGAAGCCUGAUGCAGCAACGCCGCGUGCGGGAUGACGGCCUUCGGGUUGUAAACCGCUUUCGCCUGUGACGAAGCGGGAGUGACGGUAAUGGGUAAAGAAGCACCGGCUAACUACGUG